CGUAACGAAAUUUUCAGGAAUCACAAAUACCAUUGCUAUUAUUGUAUAUACCAAAAUUCUAGCUAAUGAUAUUAUACUUGUUAUUAUUAGCAGAGGAAAAGGUGUAGACCUUUGCUCGCGAGUGUCAAGAAAAGUGAUGUUGUCUUUUCCAAAAACUACAAAGUGCAAAUAACGACCACGAAUUUCACCCCGCAGCCAAGGCAUACUCUGCAGUUCAGCUUGCCAAGGUGCCGCAAACAUAAAACUGGGCAGAACCAAGUGCACUUACACAUAAUAAAAAAUGUCCUUGCGGUGCAUUUCAUGGAGGACUUACAUAAAGACAUUGGAAACGCUGCAUUUAGCCUUUUAUUGGAUGAGUCCACUGACAUUGGUGUAACAAAAAUUCUUGGAGUCGCCAUUAGCUAUUUUAGCAAAUCCAAAGGGGACAUUUUUAGGCCUCGGACAAGUUGAGACAGCAGAUGCAAUUUCGAUAGCAGAUACCAUAAAGAAGUUGCUGUUAACCAAAAAUUUAAGCAUUGGCAAUAUGAUUGGUAUCGGCACAGAUAACGCUAGUGUAAUGACUGGCUCAAAAAAAAAGUGUUUACACCGAAUUGAGAAAAUCUGUACCGUCUCUCAAGCUCAUAAAAUGCGUAUGCCACUCAAUUCAACUGGCAGUAACAAAGGCUUGCACGAAGGUAUUGCCGGACUGCUUAGAAUAUCUUGUGCAUGAGACUUACUCAUGGUUUUGCUCAAGUCGCCAGUUACA